UUAUGUACAUACCUACAUCAUAGCAUUACUUCACCGAAUCCCAUUAUAACUUUGUAGUUAAGCCUGCUCGGGCUAGAGUAGUACUGAAAUGGUUGACCACCUAAGAAGUCCUAGUAUUUUACAUGCC
rfam:Picea glauca, whole genome shotgun sequence.